rnacentral:rRNA from 1 species
UACGGGGGGGGCAAGCGUUGUUCGGAAUUACUGGGCGUAAAGGGCUCGUAGGCGGCCAACUAAGUCAGACGUGAAAUCCCCAGGCUCAACCUGGGAACUGCGUCUGAUACUGGAUGGCUUGAAUCCGGGAGAGGGAUGCAGAAUUCCAGGUGUAGCGGUGAAAUGCGUAGAUAUCUGGAGGAACACCGGUGGCGAAGGCGGAUCUCUGGGCCUUACCUGACGCUCAGGCGCGAAAGCUAGGGGAGCGAACAGG